rnacentral:rRNA from 1 species
AAACUCUGGUGGAGGCUCGCAGCGGUGCUGACGUGCAAAUCGCUCGUCAAAUUUGAGUAUAGGGGCGAAAGACUAAUCGAACCAUCUAGUAGCUGGUUUCCUCCGAAGUUUCUCUCAGGAUAGCAGGCCCAAAUUAAGUUGUUGUGUGUGGUAAAGCGAAUGAUUAGCAUACUCGGGGGCAUUAAGCCUUCGGAUGAUUCUCAAACUUUAAAUGCGCACGGAUAUUGCCGCUUUGUUGGGCGAUAUCGUUAAAAACUUGGGCUUUGUGGGCCAUUUUUGGUAAGCAGAACUGGCGAUACGGGAUGAACCGUAAGCGUGGUUAAGGCGUCAAAGUGUCCGCUUAAAGAUCCCAAAAAAGGUGUUGAUUCAUCGAGACAGCAGGACGGUGGCCAUGGAAGUCGGAAUCCGCUAAGGAGUGUGUAACAACUCACCUGCCGAAUGAAUUAGCCCUGAAAAUGGAUGGCGCUAAAGCGGGCCGCCGACACCACGUCGUUUAUGCAAAGGAAUAAAUAAAUAAGCUUAAAUGAGUAGGAGGAACGUGGUGGUUGUACCGAAGCGUGCGUGCAAACGUGCGUGGAACGGCCACUAGUGCAGAUCUUGGUGUAAGUAGCAAAUAUUCAAGCGAGAACCUUGAAGGGCGAAGCGGGGAAGGGUUCCACGCGAACAUUGAUUGGGCGUGGGUGAGUCGUUCCUAAGCCGCGUGGCAAUAGCUAAUUACCGGCGAAAGGGAAGCAGGUUGACAUUCCUGCACACGGAUGUGGUUAGCGGUGACGCAUAUAUGUGAAAUGAGGAGGCGGUGAAGCUGGCGGUGGCUCUGGGCAGAGUUUUCUUUUCUGUUUAACUGACUUGAAUUCCGUCGUGUGGAAUCCGCUUGUCGGGAGAAACACACGGGUUUAGGAAUAGCGCCGGGACUUUUUCCGGGCGUCCAGAUCGCCAUCGUCGGACCUUGAAAAACUGCCUGCAGGCGCAAGCCUAUAAAUACUAGUUAGACGUAUUUGAAAACCCCC